rnacentral:rRNA from 1 species
UACGGGGGAGCAAGCGUUGUUCGGAUUUACUGGGCGUUAAAGGGCGCAGGUAGGCGGUCGUGACAGUCACUUGUGAAAUCUCCGGGCUUAACUCGGAACGGUCAAGUGAUACGUGUCGGACGUAGAGUACAGAAGGGGCAACUGGAAUUCUCGGUGUAGCGGUGAAAUGCGUAGAUAUCGAGAGGAACACCUGCGGCGAAGGCGG